ACUCAAAGGAAUUGACGGGGGCCCGCACAAGCGGCGGAGCAUGUGGCUUAAUUCGACGCAACGCGAAGAACCUUACCAAGGCUUGACAUACACCGGAAAGCAUUAGAGAUAGUGCCCCCCUUGUGGUCGGUGUACAGGUGGUGCAUGGCUGUCGUCAGCUCGUGUCGUGAGAUGUUGGGUUAAGUCCCGCAACGAGCGCAACCCUUGUCCCGUG
rnacentral:rRNA from 1 species